CCUACGGGAGGCAGCAGUAGGGAAUCUUUCACAAUGGGCGAAAGCCUGAUGGAGCAACGCCGCGUGCAGGAUGAAGGCCUUCGGGUUGUAAACUGCUUUUAUAAGCGAGAAAUAUGAUGGUAACUUAUGAAUAAGCAUCGGCUAACUACGUGCCAGCAGCCGCGGUCAUACGUAGGAUCCGAGCAUUAUCCGGAUUGACUGGGUGUAAAGAGUUGCGUAGGUGGCAUAAUAAGUAGCUAGUGAAAGCUGGUGGCUCAACCAUUCAGACUAUUAGCUAAACUGUUAAGCUCGAGACCGUUAGAGGUAACUGGAAUUUCUAGUGUAGGAGUGAAAUGCGUAGAUAUUAGAAGGAACACCAAUAGCGUAGGCAGGUUGCUGGGCCGGUUCUGACACUAAGGCACGAAAGCGUAGGGAGCAAACGGGAUUAGAUACCCCUGUAGUC
rnacentral:rRNA from 1 species